rnacentral:rRNA from 1 species
UACAGAGGGUGCGAGCGUUUAAUCGGAAUUACUGGGCGUAAAGCGCGCGUAGGCGGCUUGCAAGUCGGGUGUGAAAUCCCCAGGCUUAACCUGGGAACUGCAUUCGAGACUGCAUUGCUAGAGUAUGGGAGAGGGAAGUGGAAUUUCCGGUGUAGCGGUGAAAUGCGUAGAUAUCGGAAGGAACAUCAGUGGCGAAGGCGGCUCUCUGGAACGCAACUGACGCUGAGACGCGAAAGCGUGGGGAGCAAACAGG